rnacentral:rRNA from 1 species
AGAGUUUGAUCCUGGCUCAGGAUGAACGCUGGCGGCGUGCCUAAUACAUGCAAGUAGAACGCUGAAGGAAGGAGCUUGCUCUUUCCGGAUGAGUUGCGAACGGGUGAGUAACGCGUAGGUAACCUGCCUGGUAGCGGGGGAUAACUAUUGGAAACGAUAGCUAAUACCGCAUAACAGUAGAUGUUGCAUGACAUUUGCUUGAAAGGUGCAAUUGCAUCACUACCAGAUGGACCUGCGUUGUAUUAGCUAGUUGGUGAGGUAACGGCUCACCAAGGCAACGAUACAUAGCCGACCUGAGAGGGUGAUCGGCCACACUGGGACUGAGACACGGCCCAGACUCCUACGGGAGGCAGCAGUAGGGAAUCUUCGGCAAUGGACGGAAGUCUGACCGAGCAACGCCGCGUGAGUGAAGAAGGUUUUCGGAUCGUAAAGCUCUGUUGUAAGAGAAGAACGAGUGUGAGAGUGGAAAGUUCACACUGUGACGGUAUCUUACCAGAAAGGGACGGCUAACUACGUGCCAGCAGCCGCGGUAAUACGUAGGUCCCGAGCGUUAUCCGGAUUUAUUGGGCGUAAAGCGAGCGCAGGCGGUUAGAUAAGUCUGAAGUUAAAGGCUGUGGCUUAACCAUAGUACGCUUUGGAAACUGUUUAACUUGAGUGCAAGAGGGGAGAGUGGAAUUCCAUGUGUAGCGGUGAAAUGCGUAGAUAUAUGGAGGAACACCGGUGGCGAAAGCGGCUCUCUGGCUUGUAACUGACGCUGAGGCUCGAAAGCGUGGGGAGCAAACAGAAUUAGAUACCCUGGUAGUCCACGCCGUAAACG